UCUGUCAAUGGCAUACGAUUAUAUGAGACGAAGUCACGCCUAUACAGAACAUUUGCGUCACACAUUACCUAGUUCCAUCACCAUAUCUCCCAAAACAGAAUCCACUACACGAGACCUACCUUUUAAUGUAAUUAUUUCAGCCAUCUCUGGUCAUAAAAACCUAAUUUGUUUGCUCUCUGUUCCGAACAGACUGUUCAUGCGUAAAAGCGAUUCAAGCAGAACGUGGAAGAGACACUGACACUGCACGUGAGAAUGGAAGCAGUUGGACAGCAGAAAACACAGGUCUUACAGGGGAAAGGUCAGCAUGCAGAACGAGGGAAGUGCCAGGAAAUCCAUGCUGUGAGACCAGACAAGAGAGCAAGACAUCAACUGGGGGUGAUCCUGACUGGUUGUGGUGGCCUGGCAGUGACCACAGUCAGUCUCUGGCAGUGACCACUUGGUCACCAUGCCCCGCAUUUCACCUGUGCAGUUGGCCGUGGUCAAACCUUCCUGUGCGUCAUCCAGAGAGAAUCGAUCCAGUGACCUCAUUUAACACUCUCGUGAUAUGUUCACCAGGUGCCUCUUUUUCCCCUAUAAAAUUACAUUUCAUGGUCAUGCCUGACAACCAAUAAACAAGUCAAGCCAUGCAUGACUAAUCGUACUUGUCCAAUUGAAUAAACAGUGGAACAUAAGUGAUGUUGCCAAAUUAUGUACACGUGUUCAAGACAACUCGUAGACUGACAUCUAACAGCACUGUACAAGCAGCCUAGAUUAUUUCUUUAAAUUGAAUUCUGUGCUGCGGAAUAUUCCGACCCAUCAGUUUCCCAUGAGACUGGGUUACCAGAGCCAGAGGAGGAGAAGAUAGGAGACAGGAGAGUAAGAGAAGGAAGAAAAGAGAAGAGAAGAGAGAGAGGAAGAGAAGAAACACAGGGAGGAGAGGAUAGGAGACGAGCAGGGAAAAGAACUUUGAAAGAAACACAGGGUGUGCAAGAAGAAACUAGACAACUAGACAACAAUCCAUUAGACACCAAGUAAAAACUGUCACUGAUGACAGACUUUUGGCAGUUGAUCGGUUCCAGGCAAGGGUCAGAUCUCUGCCAGACUUGGUCUGGAUCUGGCCCGGUGCUGGUCUGAAUUGAUUUGAAAAGAGCCAUCUCCCGACGGGCGUGCCGCAGUUCCGACUGAGUCAGUGGCUCGGCCUAAUAUAGGACAUUAGGGAGUGGCCCGUUGGGGUUUGAUCAAAUUGUGUGACCUUUAAGUGCACUGGAGAUGAGUCGGCGGUGGAUGCCUCCGGUGGUAGUAGCAGCCGCAGCAGAGACUGAGAGGCGUAUGCAGACUACAGCAGCUCUGGAGCCACUACUGCGUCUUCACCACCACCACCACCACCACCGCCGCCGCCGCCGCCGCGGGACAGCCCGCUCCCCAACAGCGCAUAGCAUGCUAAUACAGGGUUCAGAGCAGCGCAUAGCAUGCUAAUACAGGGUUCAGAGCAGCGCAUAGCAUGCUAAUACAGGGUUCAGAGCAGCGCAUAGCAUGCUAAUACAGGGUUCAGAGGGUAGCGAGGCGGAAUACGAGACAACGCCCAUGCCAGCUCCUGCCUUGAUAGCGGUCCAAAUCCUAUUCUGCCCACUCACAGAUUCACUUUCAACCGUUUUUGGAUUUUUGGAAUUACAGGGCGGGCGGACUCUCUAGGGUUGUUUCUCUCUCUCAUCAGGCCUGGCCGGCUGAGCCCAGAGUAGACCCCCCCUGGUAGCCGACGAGGGUAGACCUCACGUCUUUGGGGUUUCCUGGCGUGACUAAGAGACAUGGCUGGUGGGUUCAGAGACAGAGAUGAUUCUAAAAGUAUCAACAGCUGAAGAGAGGCCUUCAAAAAUGGGAGUGGGGGGUUAUGCUUUUUAAAGAGGUAGAUAGUAUUCACCCAGAGGAACCAGAGUUCCCAGUCACACUCCUCUAAUAUGACACAGGAAACCUACACUCAACCUACACAAAAUAAUCGUCUGCACUGGUCAGACAUACACUUUAAAUAUACACAGGUAAAAUAGAUUUGACCAACUUGGUUGACGUACUCUGAAGCAUGAUAGAAGAAACACAUUGUAUCAUGACUCUUUUUCCAGCAUAGAUCAGUUCAAUUCUUCCUACUGUGCUGCAGUGCCCAGUCCAGGUGGUGUGCUGCUCAGAUGAACCGUCAUGUCUGAGCAGGUCUGGAUCGGAAGGGCUCCAUGUGGAGUGGAAUGGAAGGCUGAGUCAAGUUAAACAAACCGUGUCAGUGUCACCUCUUCACCCCCUCAUGUAGUGCUAUUAUGGACACACACACACACACACACACACACACACACACACACGUCUUUUCUUUUCAUUGAUUCUAGAGGGUGUGUGUCUAAGCUCAUCUUGGUGAGUUGUAAUGUGUACACAGAUGAGGCUGUCCAUAGACUUCAUGGGUGCUUUCGGCCUAUGGUUAAUGGGUAGUUUCUUCCUUGUCCUUCAGCAUGAGGGAAAUCAAUAACAUACUUUAUUACUUGACAAAUAAAAAUGGCCUCUGCAGUUUUACAAAAAAGAGAGAAAAAAUAACACUUGCCAGUUUACCAUUUAAGAUUGGCAGUUCAUUAUGUGACAACACUGAAUUGAUUUAUUUAGCCCUUUACAAGUCAGACUUCACAUCCACAUAGGCCUUCACUUUAUUUUGCCACUGGUGAGUAAGGGAUAGGUGUUUGAAUAAAAGCCUGUGUUAGCAUGCGUGAACCUUGUCCUCUCUGCAGGACCUGUGAAGGCAUUGUUUGGGGGAGAGUGAGGCAGAGAGGGCAUUUAAUCUCAAGGACACCGAGCACUACGGCUUCAGCCUCCAGCCUCUAUAGCCCCCAGCCUCCAGCUGCAGCCUCCACGAUAAGCAAACUGAUGCGAUCGAUAAAAAUCGCUAAAAAUAUGUGGAGCCCAGCACCAAAGUGAAAUAUGAGGCCCAAAGACUAGAAAACUACACGGUAGCACUUACUGAUCCGACAGUCCCCAGGCUCCAGUUACUCAUGUAGGCGCGAUCCUUUUUGCCAGCAGACAGAUCUGUGCAUAUAUAAUCCAAUGAAACGGGAAGUGAUUUCCUGUAAAUAGCUAUUCACAUGCAGGGGAUUGAAAAACUAAAUAAGUAUGAGAUGUGGGUGUAAGGUAUGUGAGAGGUGUGGGGAAAUGUAUCAGACACUCUGACAUACAAUUACCGUCCAAGGACCAAACAUGCUCCAGUAAUUUUCAUCAGGCAUUUUUAAAGGCAGUCAUAUAAUCAGACCUCUCUCAUGGUCAAAACCCUCAUUACAGACUAGGUGCCUGGUUGGUUGAUGGAUGGCUCGGAUAGAUGGAUAGAGUCCUCACGAUGAGAGAGAGAAAGAGCAGGAAGAGAGAGAGGGAGAGAGAGAGAAAGAGAGAGAGAAAGAGAGAAAGUGAUAAAGAGAUAGAGAGAAAGAGAGAGCGGUGAGAGAAAUGUCCUGGAUGACGAGGAGGGCACAGGAGUUUAACCCACGAUAAGGGAUCUCUGAGCCAGCACUGCUGUGCCCCCACCCGCAUGCUGAUGACCUGGGUCCUGCCGCUGAUACAAGAGGACAGCUAUUCACAACCGGGGUGGCAAUAUGAGGGGAACAUGGCUUAAAAGAUACUGCACAUGUCUUAGGUAAUUUUGUAAUGUACAGUAUAAUGGUCAUAAUGAAAUUAUUUAGAAAUUAAAAAAAAUUUAGUCACCUUUUGCAUAGGUCAUUUUACAAAAGUAAUUUUGCAUAUUGGGAAAUUUUACAUUUUACUCUGACAUUUCCUAACAAGAUAGGUCAUAUGUCAGGAUGGAGUUUCCUAUUACAAAUGGUUGAUGGCAACAUGAUAUCAUAUUAGACACUAUCACGAUCAACUGUCAUGAUCACUACAAAUGACUUUCUAUGGCAUUUCUAUAGCAAGUCUUAUGACGGACGGUCACCAAAGUGUUGCGGCAUUCUGUGCGUCCCUGGUACAGAGGGACAGAGUGCUAAGGGGAGAGACCUGAGGAGGAGAACGAAACGGAGGACAAGGAGGAAGAGGACAGGAGGAUCCCCAUGGAGAGCACAUGGGCCUUUGUUCCAUCAGCAAUUCAGAUGGGUUGGACGUCACCGGCCAUUGUUCCUUUCAUGUGGGACAAGAACAAAAGGCACAUUAUGAAUGUCUAAUGCAGCCACAUUGACUGGGAUUGGGUUUCGUUUGCUGAAGGUCGCACCCCUCUGGUUUGUCAUUAUCCUAGAAUGCAAGGGAUUGUUUUUCAUCUGCUAAGGGCCUGGAUUAAUAUCACACUUUUUCUCCCUUCGGAUUGAAAGUAAGACCCAAUAUCUGCUGCCAUUUUGCAACUGAACUGAAAUGAAAUACACUAUCUUGAAACCACAGAGUAGGAGAUAUCUGCCCAUUUCAUUUGAUUUUAACAUUUCAUCAUAUUGCUGAAACCGAAUUAAAUAUGGAAGUGCAAAGUAGCCUACUAAAAGACUUAAAACUUGAAGGAUCAAUUUUUUGGGAAAUGAGCUUAUUUGCUGUCUAACCAAAGAUGUUAUAGAUAAAAAGAUACAUAUCCUUCUCUUUAUGUGCAUGCAGUAACCCAGUCUGACACUGUUAACCUAGCUAAGCAUAACUCACUGGAAGUGGAUUACACCAGUUAUCUUAUCCUCAUAGCUCACUGGAAGUGGAUUACUCCAGUUAUCUUAGCCUAUCUUAGCAUAACUCACUGGAGGUGGGUUAUAGUAGUUAUCUUAGCGUUAGGCAAACUGCUAUAAGUAACCCACUUCCAGUGAAUUAUGCUAAGCUGGGCUAACAUUUCUGAAACGCUAUAUGGAAAUAAUCUAGGGCUCUUUUAGAUACUAUACAAAUAAAAUAAAAUACAGAGAAUGUCUCAUCCAUAGUCUUCUAACCCAAAACCUCUUCUCUUAUCAAAAGCUGUCUCUACUCCAUCCUACCCUCAGAAUUCUCUUUCUCUCUUUGUCCCUGUCUGCAUUUGUAAGCCUAUCCAGCCAUUCAUUUGUGCAUUCAAAGUAACAGCAUUAAAAGUUACUUUUUCUUGGUUUUAUGAUUAAGUUGCAGACCACGCCAACAGUGUUCAAAGCACAGGAGGUGUUCAGUGCAAGGCAAUGCCAUUUAUGUGCAUGAUUAUUCAAUCCAACACAGGCCACUGAGAGUUGUUUCAAUCCAAACCCUUUCCUCAAAGGACUGGACAGCAACGUUCAUUAAUUGAAAUGAGGAAACCUUGAAUCUGCUUUGACUGGGUGUCUGGUGAAUGCAGCUGCAAAUUGUUUUUGUCUGAAAGUUUACUUGAUAAGUAUAUUUGUUUUGUCUUAUUGUUGCUGCUAGCACCUCAAUAUUGCAAAUAAAAGAGGAGAGAGAAGGUCUCCUUGCCUAGUACCUCUUUGUAUUUUAAUAUUUCUAGAUAAUGUACCAUUCGUUUUUACUCUAGAGGUUGGAUUGCUAUAUAUUGCUUUUAACCAUAAACAGAAUAUUUUAUUUAAACCUAUUUUAUUAAGAACCUCAAACAUAAAUGGCCAGCUAACUAAAUCAAAUGCCUUUUCUGCAUCUAAUGUAAUUAAACCGAUAUCCUUACUUUGUCUUUGAGCAUAAUCAAUUAUAUUUAAGGUUCUUCUAAUAUUAUCCCCCAAUAGUCUUCCCGGUAUGAAUCCACACUGAUCAAUGUUUACUAUAUCUGCAAUA